GACGAACGCUGGCGGCGUGCUUAACACAUGCAAGUCGAACGAAGAGCGACGGAAGCUUGCUUCUAUCAAUCUUAGUGGCGAACGGGUGAGUAACGCGUAAUCAACCUGCCCUUCAGAGGGGGACAACAGUUGGAAACGACUGCUAAUACCGCAUACGAUCUAACCUCGGCAUCGAGGAUAGAUGAAAGGUGGCCUCUACAUGUAAGCUAUCACUGAAGGAGGGGAUUGCGUCUGAUUAGCUAGUUGGAGGGGUAACGGCCCACCAAGGCGAUGAUCAGUAGCCGGUCUGAGAGGAUGAACGGCCACAUUGGGACUGAGACACGGCCCAGACUCCUACGGGAGGCAGCAGUGGGGAAUCUUCCGAAAUGGACGAAAGGCUGACGGAGCAACGCCGCGUGAGUGAUGACGGCCUUCGGGUUGUAAAGCUCUGUUAAUCGGGACGAAAGGCCUUCUUGCGAAUAGUGAGAAGGAUUGACGGUACCGGAAUAGAAAGCCACGGCUAACUACGUG
rnacentral:rRNA from 1 species